rnacentral:lncRNA from 1 species
GCCUGGACCAAAUAUCCGUAGGGCUGAUGGGGCCGCCCGGAUCAUCCGGAUGGGCUAAUGUCCAACGUAACUUGGGCUCUCUUCUACUCGUCCUGCUGGGCCUGGACCAAAUGUCUGUAGGGCUGAUGGGGCCGCCCGGAUCAUCCGAACGGGCUAAUGUCUUCGGCGUAACUUGGGCUCUCUUCUAUUCGUCUUGCUGGGCCUCGCUCCUAGACUUCUUC